CCUACGGGAGGCAGCAGUGAGGAAUAUUGGUCAAUGGACGAGAGUCUGAACCAGCCAAGUAGCGUGAAGGAUGACUGCCCUAUGGGUUGUAAACUUCUUUUAUAUGGGAAUAAAACGUUCCACGUGUGGGAUUUUGUAUGUACCAUAUGAAUAAGGAUCGGCUAACUCCGUGCCAGCAGCCGCGGUAAUACGGAGGAUCCGAGCGUUAUCCGGAUUUAUUGGGUUUAAAGGGAGCGUAGGUGGAUUGUUAAGUCAGUUGUGAAAGUUUGCGGCUCAACCGUAAAAUUGCAGUUGAUACUGGCAGUCUUGAGUACAGUAGAGGUGGGCGGAAUUCGUGGUGUAGCGGUGAAAUGCUUAGAUAUCACGAAGAACUCCGAUUGCGAAGGCAGUUCACUGAACUGCAACUGACACUGAGGCUCGAAAGUGUGGGUAUCAAACAGGAUUAGAUACCCCAGUAGUC
rnacentral:rRNA from 1 species